rnacentral:rRNA from 1 species
GACGAACGCUGGCGGCGUGCUUAACACAUGCAAGUCGUACGGUAAGGCCCUUUCGGGGGUACACGAGUGGCGAACGGGUGAGUAACACGUGAGUAACCUGCCCACAACUUUGGGAUAACGCUAGGAAACUGGUGCUAAUACUGGAUAUGUGCUCCUGCUGCAUGGUGAGGGUUGGAAAGCUCCGGCGGUUGUGGAUGGACUCGCGGCCUAUCAGCUUGUUGGUGGGGUAGUGGCCUACCAAGGCGGCGACGGGUAGCCGGCCUGAGAGGGUGACCGGCCACAUUGGGACUGAGAUACGGCCCAGACUCCUACGGGAGGCAGCAGUGGGGAAUAUUGCACAAUGGGCGCAAGCCUGAUGCAGCAACGCCGCGUGCGGGAUGACGGCCUUCGGGUUGUAAACCGCUUUCAGCAGGGACGAAGCUUUUUGUGACGGUACCUGCAGAAGAAGCACCGGCUAACUACGUG